UAUUUUUCAACUCUUUGUAAAUUGAAGAAAGGCUCACCAGAAUCCUAGAAGAACUGCUGUCUGAGCAUGUCCGGGAAAGCAAACUGAAUGGCACAAAGAGCAAACUGUGGUGGACGCAGAAACUCACUGCCCGGACCUCGCUCCGGGAAGGACUCCUUUCGCAGCGUGGACCUUUCUGUGAGAUCUUGGAAGGGGCUGUACAGCAGCGGCCUGCUCCCCGCCCAGGGGUGGAGAGGCCUGGAGAGGCCUGGUGGAUCCUGGCCAUCCUGGUGAGAAGAGCCAUAUAUAGAUAUUGCAAACAUCUUCUUCAAGUCUGUGGUUUGCCUUUUCACUAUCUUAAAGAUGAGUUUUGAUAAACAGAGAUUCUUAAUUUUAAUGAGGACCAAUUUAUCACUUCUGUCUUAAAACUAGUACUUUUCGUGCCCCUUGAGGGAAGAUUUUC